rnacentral:rRNA from 1 species
GACAGAGGGUGCAAACGUUGUUCGGAAUUACUGGGCGUAAAGCGCGUGUAGGUGGCAAGGCAAGUCGGGUGUGAAAGCCCUGGGCUCAACCCAGGAAGUGCACUCGAUACUGCCUCGCUAGAGUCCCGGAGAGGUUGGUGGAACUCUCGGUGUAGAGGUGAAAUUCGUAGAUAUCGAGAAGAACACCGGUGGCGAAGGCGGCCAACUGGACGGUGACUGACACUGAGACGCGAAAGCG